UCGGAUCAGGUAGGGAUACCCGCUGAACUUAAGCAUAUCAAUAAGCGGAGGACCUGU
rnacentral:rRNA from 1 species